UACGUAGGGUGCGAGCGUUAAUCGGAAUUACUGGGCGUAAAGCGUGCGCAGGCGGUUCGACAAGUCCGAUGUGAAAGCCCCGGGCUCAACCUGGGAAUGGCAUUGGAAACUGGCGAGCUUGAGUGUGGCAGAGGGGGGUGGAAUUCCGCGUGUAGCAGUGAAAUGCGUAGAGAUGCGGAGGAACACCGAUGGCGAAGGCAGCCCCCUGGGCUGACACUGACGCUCAUGCACGAAAGCGUGGGGAGCAAACAGG
rnacentral:rRNA from 1 species